UCUUUGUGUCUAAAUUUCUGUCAC
rnacentral:siRNA from 1 species